AGAGUUUGAUCAUGGCUCAGGACGAACGCUGGCGGCGUGCUUAACACAUGCAAGUCGAACGGAAAGGCCCUGCUUGCAGGGUACUCGAGUGGCGAACGGGUGAGUAACACGUGGGUGAUCUGCCCUGCACUUCGGGAUAAGCUUGGGAAACUGGGUCUAAUACCGGAUAGGAGCCAUUUUUAGUGUGAUGGUUGGAAAGUUUUUUCGGUGUAGGAUGAGCUCGCGGCCUAUCAGCUUGUUGGUGGGGUAAUGGCCUACCAAGGCGGCGACGGGUAGCCGGCCUGAGAGGGUGGACGGCCACAUUGGGACUGAGAUACGGCCCAGACUCCUACGGGAGGCAGCAGUGGGGAAUAUUGCACAAUGGGCGCAAGCCUGAUGCAGCGACGCCGCGUGGGGGAUGACGGCCUUCGGGUUGUAAACUCCUUUCGCUAGGGACGAAGCUUUUUGUGACGGUACCUAGAUAAGAAGCACCGGCUAACUACGUGCCAGCAGCCGCGGUAAUACGUAGGGUGCGAGCGUUGUCUGGAAUUACUGGGCGUAAAGGGCUCGUAGGUGGUUUGUCGCGUCGUCUGUGAAAUUCCGGGGCUUAACUCCGGGCGUGCAGGCGAUACGGGCAUAACUUGAGUACUGUAGGGGUAACUGGAAUUCCUGGUGUAGCGGUGAAAUGCGCAGAUAUCAGGAGGAACACCGAUGGCGAAGGCAGGUUACUGGGCAGUUACUGACGCUGAGGAGCGAAAGCAUGGGUAGCGAACAGGAUUAGAUACCCUGGUA
rnacentral:rRNA from 1 species